rnacentral:rRNA from 1 species
UACAGAGGGUGCAAGCGUUAAUCGGAAUUACUGGGCGUAAAGCGUGCGCAGGCGGUUUUGUAAGCCAGAUGUGAAAUCCCCGGGCUUAACCUGGGAACUGCGUUUGUGACUGCAAGACUCGAGUACGGCAGAGGGGGGUGGAAUUCCACGUGUAGCAGUGAAAUGCGUAGAGAUGUGGAGGAACACCGAUGGCGAAGGCAGCCCCCUGGGUCGAUACUGACGCUCAUGCACGAAAGCGUGGGGAGCAAACAGG